ensembl:lncRNA
UAGAUAGAUAUAUAUAGAUAGAUAUAUAUAGCCAAGUUAAUUAAUAAUUAUAUUAAUAAAUAUAAUAAAUGAAUAAAAUAAUAAACAAAAAUAAUCAAUCAUCUGAAUAACAGUUUGAGUAGGAAAAUUGAUAUGAAUAAGAUGUUAAUAAAAUAAACUCUUGUUUAAUAUGUUGUGCUCUAUUUUCAUAAGCUAGCGUGGUCGAACCUGUCGUAAAACUGUGUCGUAAAGUUUUCCAGCGACUUACUUUUCCGCCUAUUUGUCCGAUAAAUCCCGUUUCUACGUUCUCCUUAUUGGAUACUCUUGGUGUCUGGCUUAUGAGUAUGAAGUACUAGCCAAUCACGGAGCGAGGGGCGGGGUUUCUGGAUGUGGGUGGGAGACAGAUAGAAAUUCUUAGGCUGAACUUCUUCCGGUCUCUUUCUUUCUGUUCGCUUUGCCUAGCUGACAUGGACAAGAACAUGGCGCCUUUAACUGGGAUGCCUGGGUGUUUAUGUUUUCCUGCAUCACUGGUGCAUCCAGAGCUUCCAAAAGUAAUGGUCAUGGAUAGCCAUCCUGGCCAAACUUGAGCUCUGCCGACGCGACCUGGGUUGCGACCUUCAUGAAGAUGUUGGUGCAGCAUACAACUCUGGUGUCCAGACGAGGGCGCACUUGUCCCACAGCUGGAACGUCCGUCCUGAGAGACCCUUGCGUUAACGAUGUGGUGCUGUUUAAUGAUUGGUCCAUCCUGAGACUGCACUGAGAUUCAGGAAUCCAAGUCAGGUUUUGAAGUGGGCACAUUGUCGUGGCCGUGGGCUUCUCCGAAACGAACGUUCAACAGAUGAACCAGGAAGUCUGCUGAUGAACAAAAGGAUGUCUGCGUGGCUCUCUGUAAUGUUUCCAAUAAAAGUAUUUGAGAUCUGAUGUGUAGGUUUGAAAUGUUUUGUUUUAUCUAAAAACGAAAGCUUGUUUUUAUCCCAUUGUAUUUGUCUCUGUGGUUAACAUGUACAGUACUAACUUCCUUUUAUACCAGAGGAACUACUUGGGUUUUUUUUUUUUUUUUCUGUCUCAUGUUGUCACGUGUUUUUGUUCUUGGGUCGUGUGGGCUUUCUGGCGUCUUGCACAACACGUCCUUCUGGGAAUAUCGUAACGCCAUCAUGCCUGCUUUCAGCAGUUCGUAAUGGGUUUGGUUGUGUUGUAAGAGGUUAGACACGGACAUGUGACAUCUCGCUGUUUAUUGAGAUGUACCCCUACGACGCGGCUUACCCGUCUACCGCCAUUUUGAACUUGUUUAAGGUAAACGAUGAUAUCCGGUAUGAUGAACGAUGACAUGGUGUGAUUGAAACAGGAGGCUGCAUCCUUGUAGGUGUUUAUUGAAAGCGUCAUGGCACAUAAACGCAGAGCCGUUCGUGCGUCACCCGGAUGAUCACAGGAAUACAGAGAGCACUUAAGCAGCAUUAAGACGGGAGACUUUCUGCCAAGCAGAGACUCUGCUCUUGGCGUUUCCCACGGGUCAUGGGAUGCAGAUUAAAGGAUUCUCUUCAGAGAGCACAGCUUUCAGCUCUCCCUUCUUCCCCCCCGUUUGUUUGGCUGAAAGUGCUGCUGUUUGAGAUGUUCCAGUCAGUUUUAUUUUAUACUGAAUCAAAUGUGCUGAGAAAUGGAAAAGGAGGUAGAACAGGCAUCAUGGCUUAUGGCCUGAUGUAGUUUAGCUAUGAUUUAAACUGAUGGUAACGAGUGUAUUUGUGAAGCCUACUUAAUGACACUGAGUUGUUUUUUUUGGCUUUUAUUGUUGAAAGCUGAGGCUCAUGUUAUUAAAAGUUGGUAUGAGCCUAAUUGCUCCCUUGAGUGUGCUCAGUCACAUGAAUUUGUUUCUUAUAGGAUGUUCAUAGGAAACUAUCAAAUCUACGUUUGUAACUGGUUAUGUGGGUCCAAAGUUCAGGAAUAAGAAACUCGAUGCUUCAAUACAUGUGCUGGUAAAUAAUUGGUUUUUGACUCUGUUCUAUGGUCGAUAAGGCAUAUGGGGACUUUUUCUAUCCUCACUGCCAUCCCCCCCCCCCCCCCCCCUUGCAAUUUUUGGUCUCACAAACUGAAGGUGCAACCUCAAACAAUAAAAUAAAAACAAUAAACGCUGAAGCACUGUCCUUGGCUCAUGUUUUCGCACUUGGGUUCUUGCAGUCUGCUGAUUUGUGUUCCCUCUGGUUCCGGAUAUGGGGGUUCAGGAAAUGUAUGUAAUGACUGAGCUUUCUGCUCAUUAGGCGAAGGAACAUGUCUGGAUCCCACCGAGGCCCGAUCUUUGAAGCGCACCCGAUCAAUAAGAAGGGUUUUAAAAUGAUAUUGCAUACUAGACUAAUGAUUAAGCUUUGCUUUAGCUCAGUUAUUCGAUGGUAAUAAUAGUGUUGUUCAAUAUUCUCCACGUUUAUGGAGACUAACAAAUGACAGGUUGCUUAGUCUUCCAGGCUUGUCUCUGUUCUUUAAAAAGCAUUGAGGUGUGAAUUUUCUAAACUGGGCAAAAUACACCCCCCCCCCCCCACACACACUUUCUUCACCAGCCUGUUCUCAGUACUCAAAUAUCAUUAUCAAAGUGACGAGCCUAUUCCUCUAAUCUAUUUUUGGCUCCUCUGAAUAAAUUCAAGGUACAACAUGCCAAGCACAUGAGCCUAAGUAGCAUCAGCUACUUGAUGGUCAUUACGUAACAUCAGCUAAUGUGAAGGCCUGAGAUCUCAUCAGCCAAUACGAUAAUGAAGUUUCAAGCAGAACGGACAGCUGUCCUUUGGACCCAUGUGUGAUUGAGCUUGUUUGGGAGAUCAAAUUGGCCUCAGGAUCUUAUCAGUGCUGUACACAAAGAAGGCCUGUGUUUAUGACCCUGUGGGGCAAAAAAAAAGCCUGAUUACCAGCCUGACAUGACUUGUGAAUUAUUAAACUGCUGCCUACCUUUUAAAUACAGUAACAUGAUGGUCAAACUGAAUACUGUAGGGAAUUAAGUCAGUAAUGUUGGAUGCCAUUAUGCCUUGUUCGUGUAUGGGUUGUUUUUUUUUUUUCUCCCCCAUAAAGUAAUACUCAGAAGUGUUUCAUUUCAAAUCAUUGAUGAUGUUUUCAAAAAGUG